UUUGUGAAACAUGUUUGCUUCCUGUACGCCGUGCUCUUUCAUUCUCCGUUUCUUUUCCUUUUUUACAAAAACAAAUUUACCUAGAAUCAAAACCCCUUUUUCUUAUAUUGUCUUCUUUUAUUCUUCCUAAAAAAUCUUACUUUGAUCCGAAAACAACACAAACAUUCCGAAAAAAAGUUUUAUGGAUCAAACUCUAUAUUUUCAUGAACUCAAAUAUGUUCAUCCAUUAAAACCUUUCCAAAUCUGAAACUAAUCUCCCAUUUGAACCAAAUGUAAAGAAAGAACAUCAUAUUAUAAAACGCUCACCUUCAAGAUAAAAUUUCAGCUAAAUUCGAAAAUUCCAGCGACUCACGAAGACGGCAGCGGUGGUUUUCACGGCAACGACAGCAACUCCUAUGAAAGUUCGUGAAAAAAAUGAUGCACGGCGGAGAGAGAAAAUGAUGAACAGUGAUCAGACGAGCAAAACGGUCGGUGCGUGAAUUACACGCGCUGGUGGUGGAACUAACACGACGGCCACACACCUGCGAGACCUCCAACCACUCCGACAAUGACAUGGCAUCUCAUUAGCCUUUGGAUCCGAUCUUCAUCAACGAUUCUCAUUAAUUUGUGUUUCCUUCACUUGGAUUGUCAAGUUGGCAAAUUCUAGAAACUUGUAAUGCCAUAAACGCAAAGAACCCCACCAUUUAAUGCAUUGUAAUGAGCUAGGUGUUUUCAAAUGUAAUGUAAUGGAUAUUAAAAAUGGAAUAAUAUUUAUUUUUUG